UUUUGGUUUUCUCAUUUAUAGUUGUUUGGAACUCUUCUGUUUUUUAAGAGCAGGAAAGGGGGUCAGUAAACAAUGUAAACAAUUAUGGCGCCAGAAUCACUCAGGAGGAAAAAAUCAGGAAAAUUUAUUAGUAAAAAAGGUCAUCAAAGGUUACAGAAUGCUAAGAAAGGUUAUGCAUUAUCCAUUGGACGUAAGAUAGUGAAUGUUGAUGUCAAUAACAACGUGGUUAUCGAGGAGAAGUUGGAUGAAUCGAGAGAAAAAAUGUUUGUCUGGUGAGAAUUCACAAGCAUGCCUAGGAAAUGAAGACACAUAUCCAUCUGAUGCAUCAGAGAGUGAGGAAUUGGAAAAAGAGUAUAAGGAGGCGAUUUGUUGGAGAAGUGGGAGACGAGUUGUGGAACUUGGGAUUCUAGUGGACAAUUUGGAAAAAGGUUGUGCUGCGUGUGGUAGACCACUAGAUUUCAGACAUUGUGAGGACGAAACACGAUAUGGACUUGGAUCAUUGCUAUAUAUAAGAUGUCAGCAGGAAGCAUGUGGUCAUCUUUCUCCUGUUUCUACUGGGAAACGUUGUAAUGCAGAAACCUACGUAAAAUGCAACAAUCCUGCAUGGGAAAUAAACUUCAAAGUUGCAGCAGCAACUCUACAUGGGGGAAUAGGUGAGAGGAAGUUAAUGACGUCAUGUCGGUUUUAAACAUUCCAACGUUACAUCAUGCCACAGUUAAGAAGUAUGAAAGAAUUGUUGGAAGAAGUGUUGAGGAUGUGGCCACUAAAGCAUGUGAAGAUGCAGCAGCAGAAGAAAACUCGCUUACCAAGGAAAAUGAUAAAAUCAAUGUAGCUGCAGAUGCUGGAUGGCACACCAAAUCAUCAGGACGAUCAUAUGCAAGUCUGUCUGGU